UGGAUUAUGACUGAACGCCUCUAAGUCAGAAUCCGGGCUAGACCGACGCAUGCGCUCGUCGCCCGUUUGCCGACCCGCAGUAGGGGCCAUUUGGCCCCAAGGGCACGUGUCGUUGGCUAAGCGUCGUGGCGAAGGGUCACGGUGGCGCCUUGAAUUACAAUUCGAUCGAGCGGCGAGCUGAAUCCUUUGCAGACGACUUAAAUACGCGACGGGGUAUUGUAAGGGUAGAGUGGCCUUGCUGCCACGAUCCUCUGAGAUUCAGCCCUUUGUCGCUCCGAUUCGU
rnacentral:ncRNA from 1 species